rnacentral:rRNA from 1 species
UACGUAGGGAGCAAGCGUUGUUCGGAUUUACUGGGCGUAAAGGGCGCGUAGGCGGCGCGGUAAGUCACUUGUGAAAUCUCUGAGCUUAACUCAGAACGGCCAAGUGAUACUGCAGUGCUAGAGUGCAGAAAGGGCAAUCGGAAUUCUUGGUGUAGCGGUGAAAUGCGUAGAUAUCGGGAGGAACACCAGUGGCGAAGGCGACUUCCUGGCCUGUUCUUGACGCUGAGGCGCGAAAGCUAGGGGAGCAAACGGG